ensembl:lncRNA
UGCGUGGUCGGGCUGUGCUGGAGGUGCUGUGGGAACUGAGGGCACUGUGCUGUGUGGUUGCUGCGCCUCUGGCAGAAGUGGGCAUGAAAUGGAGAGGGAAAAUGAGCAGAUGGGGGGGUGGACCCUGCUGACAUUGAGCCCCAAAGGCAAAUGGCUGCUAGAGCCAUGCUCUGCUCAGCUGCACUGCUUUAAAAUAAUAUGAAUUAAAAAAUAAAGAAAAUAAAGCAUACGCUGUGCAUGUGACUGAGCCCUGUUUUGUGUAAAAUGACCAGAAAAUAAAAUCCCCAGGAGAGCUUAACUUCAUGCCGGAGGAAAACAGCUGAUGUGGGAGCAGGGAAUGUGUUCAUUCCUUCUGGAAAACAGCUCUGACUCUACAGCUGUAGGAGAGGAGUGCUUUGUACACGAAAAUUGAAAUGAAAGUCUUGGCAUGUAUGAGGGAUGCUUUUCCUGGUUUCUAAUCGUUUCCUAUGGAGCCCUUCAGCUCCCACACACAUGCAUUGAAUUUGACAGUGAUGAAGUUUAUCUAUUUUACCAAUGGAAAUGCAGUUAAGCUCAUGGGAACAAUACAGUUUUUGAAGUGGGAAUUCAGCUUUGCAGGUAACCAACGACUUUCACUUCAUUUUUAUGACAGCAAUAAAGGCAAACCCUAGGCUAAAUUUAAUUCCAAUUAAUUGGAAGCAUUGUUGAGGAUGCGUUGUGGUCAAACGAUAGCGAAUGUUUGAUCUGCAGAUGUGACUGCUGGUCGGGGCUGGGCUGGGAAAGGCAAAUCACAGAAAUCCCUGCACAGCCACCUCCCACAGCACAGACCAGAAGGCUAUUUCGUAAGUAGUGAGGUUGGAGUCUUGCUAAGUAAGGGCUAAAGAAGCCUUUAAUAUGUUUUUAUGGAUUGUUCAGGUGAAUUUUCCCCUGGGCACGGUCCCAAGCCGUGCUCACUGGCAAUGCCCGUAUCCCGGCCCCUCAUCUCUUUGUUUGACAUCUCUCCAAUUUAGGCAGCCAUUUUGUGUUCAGUAAAAAAACACACGAUGAAAUGAGGAGACAUCCAUUGUGGUCCAUCUCCCGGAGAUGCUAUUUUGGGAUUUUAUUUUGUGCUCAUCUUACCCCGGAGCAGCUGUAAUUCUACCUACAGAUGCCUGUGAGUUGAAACCCACCAUGUGAAUGGAUGCAGCCUCACCAUCGGGAUCCCAAAAAUGAAAUGAACAUCACUGGAAGCGAGUGCUGCUCCUACCCACAGCAUUCUGUGUUGUGCCCUCAGUGCUGAUGGCCAGGUCAGGAGAGAGCAACGUGGGGCAGAGCUGUUCUCUCUGUGCCACGGGGCUGCUCUGGGGGCUCAGGGCGCUGUGCUGCAUCAUCUUCUCUCCCUCCCCGCCACCCCACAGCCACCACUGCAUUUCCUUCCCUAUCCUCCCGAAAGUCCCCGAGCUAUUAAGUAGGUCACGAGAGCUGGUCCCCAUCCAGCAGUUUGUCUAAUUGCCUUUUUAUAGUCGCACCGUGCCACUCUUCAUUAUGCUGUCAGUGCUGCGGGAGGACGGGGCGGGGAGUGCCCGGAGCUGGGGACGAUGGCUGCGGCUCCGUCUGAAACGAUUUGCGGCUCAAACGCCCCCGCGAGACCCGCUAACCUUUGGGUGGGCGCACUGCGAUGGAGACGCGGUUCUCUCUGCCAGGGGUUUGCACCGGCCGCCCGCUGACAGCCGUCGGUUGGUGACAGCCGCCGUCCGGUGACAGCCGCAGACCUGUGACCACCGCAGCCCGGUGACAGCCGCCGUCCGGGAGGGACCGGCGGAAAGGAGCGGAGCGGCGCGGAGCGGGGCGGGAGGG